AAAUUUUGUUAUUUUAAGACAAUGAUUUUGUACCAGAAUUAACAAGGCUCAUCUGAGGCGAUCCUCAUAUAGAGACUGUGUUAAAUGGCCACCCCUGGCUCCAAUGGAAGUAGAGAAAAUGAAGAUUUAACAGGGACAUUGUUCUAGCAAGGCUCGAGCUCAAAAUGAUGAUGGAACCAUACUGUUUUCUACAGUGGCUGUACCAGUUUGCAUUCCUACCAACAGUGCAAGAGAG